GGUCAGCGGCGGACGGGUGAGUAACACGUGGGCAACCUGCCUGUAAGACUGGGAUAACUUCGGGAAACCGGAGCUAAUACCGGAUAAUAUAAGGAACCUCCUGGUUCUUUAUUGAAAGAUGGUUUCGGCUAUCACUUACAGAUGGGCCCGCGGCGCAUUAGCUAGUUGGUGAGGUAACGGCUCACCAAGGCGACGAUGCGUAGCCGACCUGAGAGGGUGAUCGGCCACACUGGGACUGAGACACGGCCCAGACUCCUACGGGAGGCAGCAGUAGGGAAUCUUCCACAAUGGACGAAAGUCUGAUGGAGCAACGCCGCGUGAGCGAUGAAGGCCUUCGGGUCGUAAAGCUCUGUUGUUAGGGAAGAACAAGUGCGAGAGUAACUGCUCGCACCUUGACGGUACCUAACCAGAAAGCCACGGCUAACUACGUGCCAGCAGCCGCGGUAAUACGUAGGUGGCAAGCGUUGUCCGGAAUUAUUGGGCGUAAAGCGCGCGCAGGUGGUCCUUUAAGUCUGAUGUGAAAGCCCACGGCUCAACCGUGGAGGGUCAUUGGAAACUGGGGGACUUGAGUGCAGAAGAGGAAAGUGGAAUUCCAAGUGUAGCGGUGAAAUGCGUAGAGAUUUGGAGGAACACCAGUGGCGAAGGCGACUUUCUGGUCUGUAACUGACACUGAGGCGCGAAAGCGUGGGGAGCAAACAGGAUUAGAUACCCUGGUAGUCCACGCCGUAAACGAUGAGUGCUAAGUGUUAGAGGGUUUCCGCCCUUUAGUGCUGCAGCUAACGCAUUAAGCACUCCGCCUGGGGAGUACGGUCGCAAGACUGAAACUCAAAGGAAUUGAC
rnacentral:rRNA from 1 species